GACGAACGCUGGCGGCGUGCUUAACACAUGCAAGUCGAACGGAAAGGCCCUGCUUUUGUGGGGUGCUCGAGUGGCGAACGGGUGAGUAACACGUGAGUAACCUGCCCUUGACUUUGGGAUAACUUCAGGAAACUGGGGCUAAUACCGGAUAGGAGCUCCUGCUGCAUGGUGGGGGUUGGAAAGUUUCGGCGGUUGGGGAUGGACUCGCGGCUUAUCAGCUUGUUGGUGGGGUAGUGGCUUACCAAGGCUUUGACGGGUAGCCGGCCUGAGAGGGUGACCGGCAAAAUUGGGACGGAGAAACGGCCCAGACCCCUACGGGGGGAAGAGGGGGGGAAUAUGGAACAAGGGGGGGAAGCCUGAUGCAGCAACGCCGCGGGGGGGAUGAGGGCCUUCGGGUUGUAACCCGCUUUCGCCGGGGAAGAAGGGGGGGUGGCGGUAAGGGGAAAAGAAGCACCGGCUAACUACGU
rnacentral:rRNA from 1 species